GCACACAGAACUAGAUUCCUGCCGGGGGGGGGGGGGAAGGGUCACAUCAAAGACUGGAGAGGAUUCACGCCCCGUCUCCCUAAAGCAAUUCGAGGCGGUGUUUCCACACCCCCAACCCCCCGCCCCGUAGAAGUGAGUGCCCAGCUUUUCGAAACUCUUCGGUAAUUCUUUUCCUGCUCUGGGAGCUGGCGUUGACCUCUUAACAAAGAACAGGUUCAAGCUGCUUCCCCUCCUCCACCCCAGGAGACUGAUGAGGGUCACGUGACCUUUCUAGACAGCACAGAAUUUGGAUGACAUCUGCAGUGACUUCAAAGGAUUGCCGUCUGGUGUCAGAGAAGGGAGGUCCUGGGUUCAAAACUAACCUCAAACACUUCCUAGCUCUGUGA
rnacentral:lncRNA from 1 species